AGUGAACGCUGGCGGUAGGCCUAACACAUGCAAGUCGAACGGCAGCACAGUAAGAGCUUGCUCUUACGGGUGGCGAGUGGCGGACGGGUGAGGAAUACAUCGUACUCUACUUUUUCGUGGGGGAUAACGUAGGGAAACUUACGCUAAUACCGCAUACGACCUACGGGUGAAAGCAGGGGAUCUUCGGACCUUGCGCGAUUGAAUGCGCCGAUGUCGGAUUAGCUAGUUGGCGGGGUAAAGGCCCACCAAGGCGACGAUCCGUAGCUGGUCUGAGAGGAUGAUCAGCCACACUGGAACUGAGACACGGUCCAGACUCCUACGGGAGGCAGCAGUGGGGAAUAUUGGACAAUGGGCGCAAGCCUGAUCCAGCCAUACCGCGUGGGUGAAGAAGGCCUUCGGGUUGUAAAGCCCUUUUGUUGGGAAAGAAAAGCAGCAGGUUAAUACCCCGCUGUUCUGACGGUACCCAAAGAAUAAGCACCGGCUAACUUCGUG
rnacentral:rRNA from 1 species